rnacentral:lncRNA from 1 species
CUCGGCUGGUCUCCCAAGAGGAAGUGGCUGGGUCCCUGGGGGAGAGGACACAGGCCUCAACUCAAGGACAGACCAAAGAGCAAGGCCAGAGUAAACUCUCAGCCUACUGAGGGGCCGAGAGUGGUGCAGGGAGGCUACUCAGGAGGCUGAGGCAGGAGGACUUUGAGUUCGAGGCCUGUUUGCACAACUUAGAGAGAUCCUGUCCGUGAGCUUAUUGAAAGGGACGUGAUCUGGCCUUUUCUAGAAAUCUAAUCCUUCCCAGAUGGAGUCCAGUUCUCUCACCCCAGCCCCCUGCAAGGCAGGGCUCCAGAAAGCAGGAGGGUUUUGUCUGCCAGAUCUGAGACUCAGCUGUCACUCACCAUUGAGGGGAUGUGAGGGGUGGAUCGCCUUCCUGAACCUCGGUUUCCCCAAAGAUCCAUGAGCCAACAAACACAGUACUGGCGGAUUGAACCAAGGGCCUUCACACAGCUACAUUCUCCGACCUUUUUUAUUCUUUAUUUUGAGACGGAGUGUAAGAAGAUAAAUUACCCAGGCUGGGCAAAAAUUUAUGAUCCUUCUGCCUCAUCCUCCCAGAGUACUGAGAUUACAGGCAUGGACUACCACACCCAGCUGGUCUCUUCUAAAGGGAAAGAAACAAGGAAGCUCUGAGACUCAGCCAUGUCUCUUCAAUGGUUUUGGAGAAAGCCCUGGCCUCUCCCUAUGGGGGAAGACGGUAGCUCUAAGACAGUGAAAAGCCUUGGAGAUGCCCACCCUGGGCCAACAAAGGGCUCCAGGCUAACCAUGAGAAAAACAGCAGACAAGUCUCAACUCCAGGACAGCUGCAAAACACCUGACCAGCGCUCCUCGAAACUGUCCAAAACAAGGAAAGUCUGAGAAACUGUCAGAAUCAAGCCUUGGCUAGCCUCGAAUUUGUGGCAGUCCUCCUGCCUCAACCUCCUGAGUGCUGGGAUUAGAGGGGACAGAGGACCGGCCCUCCAUGAGAAGUGCAUCUCCCCUCACUGUGUGUGCCCCGGGGCCAAACAUCUAAUUCGAGGCAUCUGACGUUGGCUCAUGCAGAUACGGAAUAACCGCUUUCCUAAGGAAGAAGCAGGAGGGUAAGACCUCCAAAUCGGAGUUCUUGCUUCAUUUAUUUUUCUGGUAUGUUGAGAAAUUUGUGCCCAGCUGCAUUUAUUUAUAACAAACCAGAAUGAGAAGUCCUGUGUCGUCUUAUUUGUUUAUUGCUGAAACAAAAAAAUCUAUAAGUAUUGUCAAAGAAAGAACAGACUGAAAUUUCACUAUGACUGGGUUUAAAUGGAACCCAAAAUCUUGAGUAAAACUUUAAUCACAAAAUGAGUUUAUGAAAUGCGUGUGUGUUUGGCUGUGUGUCUAUCAUUGUUUGUGAAUGUAGCAUGUGUAUAUAGUAGAUGUUGAUGUACAAAGCAUGUGUUCAUGCUGAAUAGAUGUGACUGGAGUGUGUGCGGGUCUAGUGUGUGCAUGUGGUAUGCAGUGGGUGUUCGUAAACCACAAGAGUGCAUGUUUGUGUUCAGCAUGGUGUGUGCAAUCUGCAUGCUGUAUGUAGUAAACAGAAAAGGUGGUACAGUGUGUGUGUGUGUGUGGGACGUGUGUGCACAGUCCAUGUGUACAUGGCCCAUGACAUGUGAAUUCUGGGUACGCAUGUGGUGUCCUUGCUCUGACCCACUGGCCUUGAGCAGGCCUGGGAAUGACACAAAGUAGUGAAGCAGCUUCCUGGAGGACCAUGCAAGGAAUGAGAGUGAAGAGCCCUGUAACAUUUUCAGGCCUUACUCUUCCAGGAGGAAAUCAGGAAUUUCUGGAGUCUGCUUUACACACCCUGCAAAACCCAAACUAGCAGAAUGACUGCAGUGUGGUGGAAACCCCACUGCCAGCUCAUGAAGCCCAAUUGAAAAGCUUGUAGUUUCCGAG